GUGGGGAAUAUUGGGCAAUGGGCGAAAGCCUGACCCAGCAACGCCGCGUGAGGGAAGAAGGCCUUCGGGUUGUAAACCUCUGUCCUUGGUGACGAAACAAAUGACGGUAGCCAAGGAGGAAGCCCCGGCUAACUACGUGCCAGCAGCCGCGGUAAUACGUAGGGGGCGAGCGUUGUCCGGAAUUACUGGGCGUAAAGGGUGCGUAGGUGGCCUUUUAAGUUGGAUGUGAAAUACCCGGGCUUAACUUGGGGGGUGCAUCUAAUACUGGAGGGCUAGAGUGCAGGAGAGGGAAGCGGAAUUCCUAGUGUAGCGGUGAAAUGCGUAGAUAUUAGGAGGAACACCAGUGGCGAAGGCGGCUUUCUGGACUGUAACUGACACUGAGGCACGAAAGCGUGGGGAGCAAACAGGAUUAGAAACCCUGGUAGUCC
rnacentral:rRNA from 1 species